rnacentral:rRNA from 1 species
CAGUAGCCACGGGAAUACGAGGGGUGCAAGCGUUAUUCGGAUUGAUUGGGUGUAAAGGGCUCGCAGGCGGUUUCUUAAGUCUGAUGUGAAAGCCCCCGGCUCAACCGGGGAGGGUCAUUGGAAACUGGGAAACUUGAGUGCAGAAGAGGAGAGCGGAAUUCCACGUGUAGCGGUGAAAUGCGUAGAGAUGUGGAGGAACACCAGUGGCGAAGGCGACUCUCUGGUCUGUAACUGACGCUGAGGAGCGAAAGCGUGGGGAGCGAACAGGAUUAGAUACCCUUGUAGUCCCUGUCUCUUAUAC